ACGCUCGACACCUACGGGGGCAGCAGUGGGGAAUAUUGCACAAUGGGGGAAACCCUGAUGCAGCGACGCCGCGUGAGUGAAGAAGUAUUUCGGUAUGUAAAGCUCUAUCAGCAGGGAAGAAGAUGACGGUACCUGAGUAAGAAGCCCCGGCUAACUACGUACCAGCAGCCGCGGUAAUCUGAGCGGGCUGGCAAGGC
rnacentral:rRNA from 1 species